GGGUUUUGAGUUUGAUGCGGGUGCUGUUCCGUCGGGGAAGAAGAACCAUCACGAGUCGGUGAAGAAGCAGACACGGGUGGGGACUGACGCAGAGUCUCUGACGGCGGUGAAUUCUCCGGAGCAGACACCGAAUCUCUGAAAUUAGAAGUGCUAGGGUUCGAGGCGAAGUAAAUUCUUCCGGAAGAGCUACAAACGCCACCAGCUUGACUCCCACCAC
rnacentral:lncRNA from 1 species